UUACGGCCAUAUAGCGUUGAAACACCAGUACCUCUACGAUCACCGAAGUUAAACAAUGUCGUGCCUGAUCAGUGCCCAGAUGGGUAACCGCUUGGGAAUACCAGGUGCUGUAAG